CGGGGGUUCCCGGCCUGGCCGGGUAGCAGCGCGGGGGCGGCCCUGGGGCGGGGAGACAGGGGGCGGCUCCACUCCGGCGCUCUGCGGAGGACAGCAGCGAUCGCCAAGGCUCAAGGGGUGUCAACCAGGAACCUUGUGAUGCGUGAGGAAAAAAUAUUACCUUUUCCCCCUACUCUUUCUGGCACCCAACAAACAAGUGGGGUGGCAAAGACACCCCACUUGGGACAACUGGCAAAAGGCUGGAGUGCAGUGGCAUGGUGGCAUGAUCUUGGCUCACUGCAACUGCUGCAUCCUGGGCUCAACUGAUUCUUCUGCCUCAGCCUCCUGAGUAGCUGGGACUACAGGCACACACUACCACGUCCAGGUAAUUUUUUUUGUAUUUUUAGUAAAGAGGGGGAUUCAUCAUGUUGCGCAGGGUGAUUUUUUUUUUUUUUUUUUAAUUCUUUUCUGAGACGGAGUCUUGCUCUGUCACCCAGGCUGGAGUGCAAUGGCGGGAU
rnacentral:lncRNA from 1 species